CACGAACCGGACAAACGUUAUCCGGAAUCAUUGGGCGUAAAGAGCUCGUAGGCGGUUCAGCAAGUCGGCUGUGAAAGUCCGAGGCUCAACCUCGGAAUUGCAGUCGAUACUGCUGUGACUCGAGUCCGGUAGAGGAGAAUGGAAUUCUCGGUGUAGCGGUGAAAUGCGCAGAUAUCGAGAGGAACACCAGUAGCGAAGGCGGUUCUCUGGGCCGGCAACUGACGCUGAGGAGCGAAAGCGUGGGGAGCAAACAGG
rnacentral:misc_RNA from 1 species